GGGGCCUUAGCUCAGCUGGGAGAGCGUCGCACUUGCACUGCGAAGGUCAACGGUUCGAUCCCGUUAGGCUCCACCA
rnacentral:tRNA from 1 species